CUUGUUUCAAAUGGAAAGAAUCGCCAACUUGGUAGAUGGACAAAGAGAUACAGGCCAAUUAUGGAUGACAAGCACAAGAGUUGGAAGAGCCAAUUCAUCAUAACGUACCCAGACAGAAGCAUGUUGUUCUUGAGCGGUUCUACCCAGCAGCUCUCAGACAGAUUCAGACACCCACCAGUAGAUGGAGCUUGGGGACUCUUACAGAAGAAUCGAGCAGACCGAGGGCAAAAGGGAUAGGAACUCCAAAGGAAGACCAACAAAGUUAACUUAACCUGAACCACUGGAGCUCUCAGAGUCUGAGUCACCAACCAAAGAACAUACAUAGCUGGACCGUGGCCUCCUGCCCGUAUGUAGCAAAUGUGCAGCUUGACCUUAUCCCAAAAGCUAUUGCCUUACA